CGCCGCGCGCCUUGGGGGCGUCUGGCUCCCCUCGAGCACGGGGAGCAGCCCCCUCUUCUGGACCGGGGACGCACCGGUUGGCCUGGGCUCUUGGGUGCAGGGCUCGCGGCCUGGCAAGAAUGUGCAGCUGACAGAGAACGAGAUCCGCGGUCUGUGCCUCAAAUCCCGGGAGAUUUUCCUGAGCCAGCCCAUUCUUUUGGAGCUGGAGGCACCCCUCAAAAUCUGCGGUGACAUCCAUGGCCAGUACUAUGACCUUCUGCGGCUGUUUGAGUACGGCGGCUUCCCUCCGGAGAGCAACUACCUCUUCCUGGGGGACUACGUGGACCGGGGCAAGCAGUCGCUGGAGACCAUCUGCCUGCUGCUGGCCUAUAAGAUCAAGUACCCCGAAAACUUUUUCCUGCUCCGUGGGAACCACGAGUGUGCCAGCAUCAACCGCAUCUACGGCUUCUAUGAUGAAUGUGAGUGG